rnacentral:rRNA from 1 species
CAUACCUAUUCGAAGGGAUAGGGUCGGUUCGGCCGGAUUUCACACAGGUGUUGCAUGGCUGUCGUCAGCUCGUGUCGUGAGAUGUUGGGUUAAGUCCCGCAACGAGCGUAACCCUCAUUCUUAGUUGCCAUCAGGUAAUGCUGGGGACUUUAAGGAAACUGCCAGUGAUAAACUGGAGGAAGGUGGGGAUGAUGUCAAGUCAUCAUGGCCCUUAUGGAGUGGGCUACACACGUGCUACAAUGGUGGCUACAAUGGGCUGCAAAGUCGCGAGGCCAAGCUAAUCCCUUAAAAGCCAUCUCAGUUCGGAUUGUACUCUGCAACUCGAGUGCAUGAAGUUGGAAUCGCUAGUAAUCGUGGAUCAGCACGCCACGGUGAAUACGUUCUCGGGUCUUGUACACACUGCCCGUCACGCCAUGGGAAUUGGUUUCACUCGAAGCU